rnacentral:sRNA from 11 species
AUGUGCCACUCGCACACCGCAGUUCCUGUGUGCCGGCCCUAUCCACUUGGAGACUUCCCGCUACGUGUUGUCAGCC